rnacentral:piRNA from 1 species
UUAUGCUUUUUCAAAUUUUUA